CUUGGUCAUUUAGAGGAAGUAAAAGUCGUAACAAGGUUUCCGUAGGUGAACCUGCGGAAGGAUCAUUAAAAGUUUUAGUUAUACUUCACGUAUAUACUUUAAUAAACCCAUUCCGAGUACCUUACCCGUUUGCUUCCGUGGAGCAGGACUUCGGUCCGUUCUGACUAUGCCCUUGCGGCGUACGAUGAGUCGUCUCCACGGGAGGUAUACAUUAAACUCUUGCAUUUCCAUGUCAUCUGUCUGAAUCUGUUUAUAACAAAUGUUAAAACUUUCAACAACGGAUCUCUUGGUUCUCGCAUCGAUGAAGAACGCAGCGAAAUGCGAUAAGUAGUGUGAAUUGCAGAAUUCAGUGAAUCAUCGAAUCUUUGAACGCACAUUGCGCCUCCUGGUAUUCCGGGAGGCAUGCCUGUUCGAGCGUCAUUAAAAACCACUCAAGCUCUUUUGCUUGGUCAUGGAAGAUGAGUGAGCUUGUCUCUCUCCCUUUCGAAAUUCAAAGGCGGAAAGCCCCAUGUGCACCGGCGUAGUAAGUUUUCUUUCGCUUUGGCCAUGAGGUGAUCCUGCCCCAAACCCCCAAUUUUUCUAGGUUGACCUCGGAUCAGGUAGGGAUACCCGCUGAACUUAAGCAUAUCAAUAAGCGGAGGA
rnacentral:rRNA from 1 species